ACUUGUCUACGGGGGGCAGCAGUAGGGAAUCUUCCACAAUGGGCGAAAGCCUGAUGGAGCAACGCCGCGUGGGUGAAGAAGGUCUUCGGAUCGUAAAACCCUGUUGUUAGAGAAGAAAGUGCGUGAGAGUAACUGUUCACAUUUCGACAGUAUCUAACCAGAAAGCCACGGCUAACUACGUGCCAGCAGCCGCGGUAAUACGUAGGUGGCAAGCGUUAUCCGGAUUUAUUGGGCGUAAAGGGAACGCAGGUGGUCUUUUAAGUCUGAUGUGAAAGCCUUCGGCUUAACCGGAGUAGUGCAUUGGG
rnacentral:rRNA from 1 species